GGAUGAACUCGAAAGAUUUCCAGUCGAAACAUUGUACUUGCAUCUCUUUAUCCAGAUAGGGUACGGACAAAUUCAUCCCAGUCGUAAUCUGAAACAUAGUGACGAAUCGUAAUCGAUGAAGACAAAUUCCUCUUCUCGUGGAAUCUUUCUUCUGGAGAUUCGAAACAACGAUAGGAGUCC